rnacentral:lncRNA from 1 species
UGUGGCGAUUCAAGACAUUUCUUUUUCUUUCAUAGUUUAAGAAGGAGAGUGACGGGGUUUACUCACGAGCAAACUUGUUAAUCAGAUUUAUGAAUCCGAAUAUCUCUCACUCAGUUGCCUGAUUCAAAAGAAUUAUUGAAUCAACUCCAGUGUAUUAAAGGACUGCGGACGAUGUAGUAAGUUAACAGAUCUUCCGAACUAGCCAUUCGGAGUCUGUUCCUCCAAGGGCAGCCCUUGCCCUUGGAGCAUUUAUUCAAAGAGUUGACUAUGGAAAUCCAAGGAUUGAGAUGAUUUUUACGAUCUGGACAAGACCGGAUCGCUAUGGAUGAAGUUCAUUGUGUAUACACAUAAGAAACGAAUAUAAUAUCGAAUUGUACAUAUACGUUGAAAACAACUCUAAUCUACUACUCUUGAUAAAUAUGAGAGGCACGAACCGAACCUUGGAUGAUUAUGAAGCUUUAUAAGUGGUUUUAUAAUAUUGGAUGAAUAAUUUAUUGGCCGAAGGAACUUAUAUAUCAAAUAAAUGACUACUAUUUAAUAAGACUUACAAUACUUGUAAAAUGACCUACUUUAUGCCUAUUAUUGAUUUGUUCUACUAAUGUAAUUUGAAGCCUUAAGCCCAUUUGCAUUUUCUCUAUUUUCAUGUUUUUCUUUGUACUACUGUUCUAACAUAAGUGUAUAGUUAUUUGAAUUAAAAAAGAUGGUGUUAACUUUAAA